rnacentral:rRNA from 1 species
UACGUAGGGGGCGAGCGUUGUCCGGAUUUAUUGGGCGUAAAGAGCUCGUAGGCGGUUUGGCAAGUCGGGUGUGAAAACUCCGGGCUCAACUCGGAGACGCCACUCGAUACUGCCAUGACUCGAGUCCGGUAGGGGAGUGCGGAAUUCCUGGUGUAGCGGUGAAAUGCGCAGAUAUCAGGAGGAACACCGGCGGCGAAGGCGGCGCUCUGGGCCGGAACUGACGCUGAGGAGCGAAAGCGUGGGUAGCAAACAGG